UACGAAGGGGCUAGCGUUGCUCGGAAUCACUGGGCGUAAAGGGUGCGUAGGCGGGUCUUUUAAGUCAGGGGUGAAAUCCUGGAGCUCAACUCCAGAACUGCCUUUGAUACUGGGGAUCUCGAGUCCGGGAGAGGUGAGUGGAACUGCGAGUGUAGAGGUGAAAUUCGUAGAUAUCGCAAGAACACCAGUGGCGAAGGCGGCUCACUGGCCCGGUACUGACGCUGAGGUGCGAAAGCGUGGGGA
rnacentral:rRNA from 1 species